CAACACUCAAGCUCUGCUUGGUCUUGGACCGCAUCAGUUCUGAUCGGUCUUAAAAUCAGUGGCGGUGCCAUCGUGCUCUAAGCGUAGUAAUACUCCUCGCUACAGGGUCCGCGGUGCGUGCUUGCCAGCAACCCCCAACUUCUAAGU
rnacentral:misc_RNA from 1 species